AUCACGCCCCCCGGCCCCCCCGCCCUUAUAGAACCAGGGAAGGGCGAGUCUUAAAGGUGCCGCGCCUAACGGAAGGCAGGACCGUGGGAAUCUGGGAGAAUCCCUCCCUCUGCCCCAAAAGAAGAGAUUCAGAGCCAGGAGCGGGUGAAGAUAUGCGGAAAGAAUGGCAAGAGGGCUCGGUGAAGAAAGGACUGCAGUGUGUGGCAUCACACUCCCUUCCCCCCAACCACACACACCCACACUCACGGGGGCAUGGAUCACACACACAGCCCUCACACCUAAACCAAGAGAGGCGGCGGCAUAGUAUGGAAGUGAACACGGUGACUACGGACGGCCCUAGCUGUCAAGCCCCUGAUUCCCAUAAUUAUAAUCUUGCUCCAGGGACCGGUUGGAGCCGAGAGCUGUGUGACCUUGAAUAAGUCGCUUCCUUUUUCUCAAUCUUAAUUUUCUUAUCUGCAAAAGAGGAGGGCAAGAGUAGACCUCCCGCAAGUACACCUCCUCUCCUCUUCCCCCAAACACCUCUCCAUCUCGACUGGGUCACAAGAACUCUGGCCCAACCAAACCCUUCAGCGCCCCACAAGCACCCUUCCACCAAAAGGGCAGCGGCUCUUGGAUCUUCCAAGAGCCAAGUAGGGGGCGCCCAGGAGCACCCCUCCAUGCUAGAGGACUCUCAGACUCAAGCUUCUCCCUCCUGGCCCAGGCUGGAGGAGCCUGGAAAGCUUGCGUUCUUGUUCCAGUGGGGCAGAUCUGAAUCACUCUCCAUCUGCAGAGACCCCAAUCCCCAACACAGUCACGAGCCCCUCUCCAAGCCCCCCAGCCUGCUGCUCCGUUUGGGAGGAUCGUGUCCCCACCUCCAGCAGUCUACUGGAGUGGGGGUGGGGCGAAAGCGGAAUCACUAAAGAACAACCUCCCCUCCCCGUUCCCGGUCAGAGAAGUGGCCACAAGUGCCCCCACAGGACUUCCCACUGGAAAGGGAAGUGCCACACUCCCAGGCCUCCAUCCCAGUGAGGAGACUCAGCUUGAUCCGGCUGGCAGAGCUCUCAAACCCACCGGUCCGACGACCCCGCUUUACAGACGAGGAACCAGAGACGAGGAGUGUACACAGACCGGGAGCGGACACUGGGUUUUGUCCACGGUCGCAGUGGUUACAAAGCCGGGUCUAGAAUUGAGCUUCUACAGGCCUAGGCCAGAGCGGGCUGCCCUAGCUGACCUUGCAGCUGACUCCGGGUUGGGGGACGCUGCACCAAAGUCCAAGUUACCAGCUGAAAAUAAAGUUGAAGAGGAACCUGAGAUCAGAACUUUCCCCAAAAGUGAAAAUGUGGGACAUCAAAGCAAUACCCACCAAGACUCUAUGGAGGCUUCUUUGAAGAAAAAUAAAUAAGCCAGGAUACAGACACACACCCCACCACUUUCAAGAGGAAGAAUGUAGGUCAGCAUCUUUGCCACUACUCUAUGUGAAACAGCCUAUGAUCUUGGCAAAAACUAGUAACCACAAGCCCAUCCCAUCCCACUAAAAAUCCCACCACCUUCCCAUAGCUCUCAGCUUCAGUAAGAAAAAGCCAGCAAGAAAAGGACUUUCUUCCUCCUUUCAAUCUGCUCCCCGGCUGUUUGAAUUACACUUAAGACUUCACUGACAAACAUACAUCAGCUUUUGCUCCCACAAGGGCAGCGGAAGCCAAGCAGGGACUCUAAGUCUGCUUCACGCAUCAUUGACAGAACCAACCCUGUUCCAAUUGCUGAAGUCUUAAGAGCAGCAAUGACCUAGAAAUUGACAGUGGGGGGAGAACUGAAGGAAAGGAAACUGACAAACCAGUACACAGAAAACCCUAUUUCCAAAUACCAGGGGAAAGAGAGAGAAAGGAGGUAGAGGGGAAAGAGAUUUGGCCCCUUUGAAUCUGCAAAUGUGAUCUUGGCUCAGAGCCAUGGAGGAUACAUAGCAGGCCCAUUGCGAGUCAAGCCAUGUUCCUGACUCAAACCCUACAGUUAAGAGGAAGGCGCCAAGCCUCAAACACAACGAGGUGGGGAGGCCGCUCCUUUUUGGGCAGGAUCCUACUGUGGACACAGAACAGACAGCAGCUGCCCACAGUGUGGAAACAAACUGUAAAGCAGUCACGUCUCUUAAGGCUGCAGCAUCCAAUAAAAUGUAAUUUAAAUCAAGCCUUGCAUCUGUUCUCAAUCCCAUUCAGUCUCUGCUUUCCAUCAGCCUUCGGACAAUCUUUGCAAUUAUGCUUGUUAACCCUUAUAGCCCCGGACACUUUCCAAGCUUCUAGGUAUAGAACUGUGUUCUCCACUCACACAUUACCCUCUCUCCAUAGCCAAGAGAGGGAAUGAAUGCUCUAAUAAAGGAUUGUGAGGGUGAGAAUGACAUUCAGACUCCUGUCUACAGACUAUGCUCAGCUACACACACCAGUGGGUAGUUUUCAUUUCAGAGGGCUCUGUGUGCCCUUCUAUCCCACACCACCUGCUGUAGCCCAGAUCACAUUGCAAGGAUACAGUGGGCAGCAUGAAUGAAACAGUGGCCAACAGAUCAUUUGUACAUGUAUCAAGUUCCCAAACUCAAGUCCAUAUCAGAAAGACAGGAGUCAGAAGAGCUCAGGGAGAAGCACAGACUUGGUCACUGGCUCUCAGACCAUUCAAAUCACACAUAGUUUACAUUCCAAGCAUUUGUUUGAGUUAUAAAAGUACAGCAAUCUCCCAAACAAAUCAAACUUAAGCUUUUUUUCCCUUUCCUCAAGACUACCCCAGCCCCAUGUUUGUGCUUUCAAGGCACUCAGUGCCCUCUGGUGUCCCCAUCAGUAAUUGCCAUUUAAUGCCACUGGAAACCAAACCCAGAAAAGGGGACUUGAGUAACCAUAUGGAUUGAUUUAUCUAUUAAGAUUGGAACAAUAUGAGGUUUAGAUGAAAAUCCAACCCCAAACUAAGGUGUCUUGAAACAAGUGGUUUCAUCUAGGGCAGCUAAGACUGUGGGACAGUUUGGGGAGGAAUUUUCACAUUGCCUUUUAAAAGUCUGAGCUCUCUUGAAAUGCGAUUGCUUAAAAAGACAAAGAACACAACUUAAAAAUAAAUAUAUUCACAAUCUGAAGAAUUACAUUCUCCUUAUCACCCCCACAACUUUGGGAGUACCCAAGAAACUGAAGUAGUCUUUAAAAUGUCACAAUGUGGAAGUAAGUGAAACAUGAACACAGUAUACUCCAAAAAGAAAGAAA